AACGAACGCUGGCGGCAUGCCUAACACAUGCAAGUCGAACGAGACCUUCGGGUCUAGUUGCGCACGGGUGCGUAACGCGUGGGAACCUGCCCUUAGGUUCGGAAUAACUCCCCGAAGGGGGUGCUAAUACCGGAUAAUGUCUUCGGACCAAAGAUUUAUCGCCUUUGGAUGGGCCCGCGUUGGAUUAGCUAGUUGGUAGGGUAAAAGCCUACCAAGGCGACGAUCCAUAGCUGGUCGGAGAGGAUGAUCAGCCACACUGGGACUGAGACACGGCCCAGAAUCCGACGGAAGGCAGCAGUGGGGAAUAUUGGAGGAGGGGCGAAAGCGUGAUCCAGCAAUGCGGCGUGAGUGAUGAAGGCCUUAGGGUUGUAAAGCUCUUUUACCCGGGAUGAUAAUGACAGUACCGGGAGAAUAAGCGCCGGCUAACUCCGUG
rnacentral:rRNA from 1 species